GGACUACCGGGGUUUCUAAUCCUGUUCGCUACCCAUGCUUUCGCUCCUCAGCGUCAGUAGUGGCCCAGAGACCUGCCUUCGCCAUCGGUGUUCCUCCUGAUAUCUGCGCAUUCCACCGCUACACCAGGAAUUCCAGUCUCCCCUACCACACUCUAGUCUGCCCGUACCCACUGCAGGCGCGAGGUUGAGCCUCGCGAUUUCACAGCAGACGCGACAAACCGCCUACGAGCUCUUUACGCCCAAUAAUUCCGGACAACGCUUGCGCCCUACGUAUUACCGCGGCUGCUGGCAC
rnacentral:rRNA from 1 species